GGAUUUAUCUGGUGGAGAAAAAUCCUGAAAUUUUUUUGGGGAAAAAAAAAUCCCUGAAAUUUGGGAUUUAUUUGGGGGAAAAUCCGAAAGUUUUGGAUUUACGAGAAGGGAAAAAAUGGUAAAAAUUUGGUGGGAAAUCCCAGAAAUUUGAGCUUCAGCUGUGCCCAAAAUUUGGGAUUUUUUUUUUUUUUUUGGAUGGGGAAAAAUGUGAAAAAACUGGGGGGAAAAAAAUCCUAAAAAAAGGGGGAGGAAAAAAUCCCCAAAAUUUGGGGAAAAUCCCCAAAUUGUCCCGAAUUUGUCCCAAAUUGGAGGGAGGGGACAGAGCCCUUCAGCCCUGGGCGAGGACAGGUGACAGCGGGAGGUGCCACCAGGUGUGCCCAGGUGCCACCAGGUGCCACCUCACCUGUCCAGGUGUCACCAGGUGUGUCCAGGUGCCACCAGGUGUGCCCAGGUGUCACCUCAGGUGUGUCCAGGUGUCACCAGGUGUGCCCAGGUGUCACCUCAGGUGUGUCCAGGUGCCACCUCACCUGUCCAGGUGUCACCAGGUGUGUCCAGGUGUCACCUCAGGUGUGUCCAGGUGCCACCUCACCUGCCCAGGUGCCACCAGGUGUGUCCAGGUGCCACCUCAGGUGUGGCCAGGUGCCACCAGGUGUGUCCAGGUGCCACCUCAGGUGUGUCCCAGUGUCACCUCAGGUGUCCCAGUGUCACCUCAGGUGUCCAGGUGCCACCUCAGGUGUGCCCAGGUGUCACCUCAGGUGUGCCCAGGUGCCACCAGGUGUGUCCAGGUGCCACCUCAGGUGUGCCCAGGUGCCACCUCAGGUGUGCCCAGGUGCCACCAGGUGUGCCCAGGUGCCACCAGGUGUGUCCAGGUGUCACCUCAAGUGUGUCCAGGUGCCACCAGGUGUGCCCAGGUGCCACCUCAGGUGUGUCACACCUGGCCCACAGGCACGGGGAGGUGACAGGUGCCACCAGGUGCCACCGACACACAGCGAAACCAACGGUGCCACCUCCUGUCCUGUCCUGGUGCCGUCCCCAGGUGCCUCCAGGUGUGCCCAGGUGCCACCAGCUCUCCCCAGGUGUCUCCAGGUGUGUCCCAGCUGUUCCCAGGUGCCACCAGGUGUGCCCAGGUGCCUCCAGGGUGUCCUCAGGGUGUCUCCAGGUGCUACCAGGUUUCUCUCGGGUGAUCCCAGGUAUGCCCAGAUGUCUCCAGGUGCCACCAGGUGUGCCCAGGUGCCUCCAGGGUGUCCUCAGGGUGUCCCCAGGUGCCACCAGGUGUGCCCAGGUGUCACCAGGUGUCCUCAGGAUGUCCUCAAGGUGUCCCAGGUGUCCCCAGGAUGUCCUCAGGGGAUUCUCAGGUGUGCCCACAUAUCUCCAGGUGUGCCCAGCUGUCUCCAGGAUGUCCUCAAGGUGUUCCCAGGUGUCCCCAGGUGUGCCCAGGUGUCCUCAGGAUGUCCUCAAGGUGUUCCCAGGUGUCUCUAGGAUGUCCCCAGGCAUGCACCAGGUGUCCCCAGGUGUACUCAGGUGCCCUCAGGAUGUCCUCAAGGUGUUCCCAGGUGU
ensembl:lncRNA